UACGUAGGGUGCAAGCGUUAAUCGGAAUUACUGGGCGUAAAGCGUUCGUAGGCGGACCUGCAAGUCGGGGGUGAAAGCCCGAGGCUCAACCUCGGAACUGCCUUCGAUACUGCGGGUCUCGAGUCCGGGAGAGGUGAGUGGAAUUCCUAGUGUAGAGGUGAAAUUCGUAGAUAUCAGGAGGAACACCAGUGGCGAAGGCGGCUUUCUGGACGGUAACUGACGCUGAGACGCGAAAGCGUGGGGAGCAAACAGG
rnacentral:rRNA from 1 species